GAUGAACGCUGGCGGCGUGCCUAAUACAUGCAAGUCGAGCGAACAGACGAGGAGCUUGCUCCUCUGACGUUAGCGGCGGACGGGUGAGUAACACGUGGAUAACCUACCUAUAAGACUGGGAUAACUUCGGGAAACCGGAUCUAAUACCGGAUAAUAUAUUGAACCGCAUGGUUCAAUAGUGAAAUACGGUUUUGCUGUCAAUUAUAGAUGGAUCCGCGCCGCAUUAGCUAGUUGGUAAGGUAACGGCUUACCAAGGCAACGAUGCGUAGCCGACCUGAGAGGGUGAUCGGCCACACUGGAACUGAGACACGGUCCAGACUCCUACGGGAGGCAGCAGUAGGGAAUCUUACGCAAUGGGCGAAAGCCUGACGGAGCAACGCCGCGUGAGUGAUGAAGGUCUUCGGAUCGUAAAACUCUGUUAUUAGGGAAGAACAAAUGUGUAAGUAACUAUGCACGUCUUGACGGUACCUAAUCAGAAAGCCACGGCUAACUACGUG
rnacentral:rRNA from 1 species